AAAGCGUGCGCAGGCGGUUGUGCAAGACAGAUGUGAAAUCCCCGGGCUCAACCUGGGAAUUGCAUUUGUGACUGCACGGCUAGAGUGUGUCAGAGGGGGGUAGAAUUCCACGUGUAGCAGUGAAAUGCGUAGAUAUGUGGAGGAAUACCGAUGGCGAAGGCAGCCCCCUGGGAUAACACUGACGCUCAUGCACGAAAGCGUGGGGAGCAAACAGGAUUAGAUACCCUAGU
rnacentral:rRNA from 1 species